CCUCCCUGGGAUUCCACGGGCCGCUGUGUGAUUUUGUGCCUGUGUGUACUUGGCAUACAGGAAGGCACACCCUUGUGCUGUAAAGUUCAGUGGGUUUGACAAAAGCAUCAUACCAUCCAUCCAGUCACGGGGCCAGUAGUACGCAGAAUGCUGUCACUGUCCUAAAAUGUGCCCUGCCUCCACCUAGUCGGUCCUUCCUCCCGUCUCCCGAGCCCGUGGCAACCGCCGAUCUUUUGAACCAGUUCUCUAAGUUUGCCUUGCCCAGACGCCGUGGACCUGGAAUCAGACGUUUCAGUAACACUAAUGAAACUGUCCUAUGGAAGAGACAUGCAGAAAGGGAAGAAUGAAGCAUUCCCCAAGAGAGCACUUCCCUGGUCUCUUUACAGAUGUUGGAACAUAACAGGCCAUCUCUUUGGGGAAGAUUCUGGCUCCUGAAUCCAGAUCUGGAUCUCUGAAGAGCUUCAUUCAUACAAUUGAAACCAAGAAUAAUUCUUCACUUUGUAAAGGAUGAAUCAAGUGUGUUUCAAGCUCAUUUCAAAGAGAGUUUAAUUGCUGAAAAUAUACAAGACACGUUAUACUUGAGGGCUGUAGACAAGUGCAGAAUUUAUAAUAUGACUCUAGGAGAACAGAGUGCUGUAGAGAUGCUGUCAGCUUUCACCUGUGUGUUCUGCUGUGUUAUGUCCUGCCUUAUCACACAGGCCUUAUUAAAUUUGACUAUUUGGUGGUAACUGUGGAAACUGGGAGAUGUAUUCACAUUCAUCUCUGGGUGCAUGUGUGAGAAAGGUGACACUUUCUGAGUAAUAAAGCUUUGAACCCAAAAAGCAAUUAUCACCAGUAAGAGUACUCUGGUUCCAUGUUUCCUGCUGUUUAUUCAGGGAUGGCAAGGGAUUUUGAAAGCAGAAAAAGUUUGCCAAUUUAAAUAUUCCGGUUUAAAAAAUGUAAACAACCUGAAAAGGAUCAUAACUUGCAGACUAGUUUCCAGUGUGUAAUCUGAGAAUCUGUAUUGGAGAUAGAAGACAGUAACUCUUUAGGGAUGUUUUAAAAUUUUGCUCACAACUGUGAACUCCUUCUUGCUGAAAUCUAGGAGUGCCAUAUGGGUGAAUGAAACCAAAACUGCUGUUAGGUUUACUCAACUAAAGGAGAGGUCUCACUGGCAAGGAAGGAUGAAAUUCAAGCAAAAAUCUAGUCUCCAAUCAGUUUACGUGGCUCCAGAGGUGAAGAGAAAGUGAAGUUUGUGGGCAGCAAGUCACUGUUGGAAAGUGUCCUCUCUGAGGAAGGCAGUAAAGGCUCAUGAGUGCAUUCUGUAUCGCUCUUCUCUUCACUCCCAGUCCUUAUCUUAGUCAUGCUCUCAGCAUCUCACUUCUGGACAGAUAGGAUAUGUUCUUUUUCUACUGGUCGGUCUCUUUGCCUCAAGCUAUUCCCUGACCUCUGCCCUGCAGCAGGAGCAGUGCCUUGGAAUGCCUGGCUAGUCAAGACUCAACCAUGCUUGAAAAUCUUCACUGGCCCCCAGGUAAGUUUGUACUACAAGCCUGU